GAAGGAUCACUGUUGAGUGAACUACCGAGUGUGUUACGGCGGACCCGAGGAAACGGGGACAAAGGAGCCGGGAGGAUCUGCGGCCCCGAUGGGACCUAGGGAAUCUAGGGCUUGAGGGUGCGCGAGAGGCGUACGCAGUGGCUCCGGCGGCCUGUACCACUGACGGUCCAACAUCGAGCGAUCGUCAUGCUCGACGUCUGAGCCGGUUCUGGAUGCGUCUGCAGGCUCUGGCAGGUUUUGGCCAAGAUCCAAUGGAUCUACAUUCCCGGAUGGUCGUGACAGUAAUCCUUGUCGACAACCUCGACGACUGUGUGGAGCUUCUUGGGCGAGCCGAGGUUUAGUUCGGGGAUGCAAUCGGCGUUCAGGAAGUAGUACAUGGCCGAUUCCUGAUAGAGGGUAAAAUUCUCGUGAAUCGGAUUCCAAUACACGAGAACUUUAUCGCCGGGAUCACAGCUGUUGACAGUGAUGCAGCCUUGUUGGACCAGCUUCUCCGCGUACUUCUUCAUUUUUCUGCGGACGUUGCCGCAGUGCAUCGGACACGUGCACUGCGUCUCAGUACUGGUUGCUGCAUCCCGACAGACACCGUCUGUCAAUACUGCUACAGAGCCAAUCAUUUCCCGUUCACGACCCUCAGAGGACGAGGACGAGGUUUCAGCGGGAGCCGUGAACCUUCUUGUUCUCAGCAUGACUAGCUCCAUCUCCAUCCGGAGCUUAUCAGCCUUCAGCCCCUCGAUCUUCGUCUUUGCUUUGGCUUUGUACUCCCGAAGCGAUUCCAUCUCCAAACUUAGCCUCUUGUUAUCGUUUUCGAGGGUCUCGAGCCGUCUGGUGAGGCAGCUUUGGUCGUCGUUUGCUUCCAACCGCACCUUCUUUGACUCCGAAACCUCGACUUCGUCCUUCCCUGACCUGAGGCACUUCAGCACCUCCUGGACGUGGCUUAAGCUCAUUUCCUCCGGCACGUCCUUGAACUCCUCAGACUUGGUAACUCGUUUGAUCGCUGUCUUGUACUGUUCAAGCUCUUCUUGCAGCGCGAACUCCCUCAUCCUGUACAUCUUCACCUCCUGCUCGUUCUCGUCCACUACGUGCCUAACCAUCUGCAACUCCAACUCCACCUGCUUCCUGCUGGCUCCACGCUCCUUUUCCACGGCUGUACGAAUGGCCACGUAGCUCUCUUUCACCUGCGCAAGAAAGUGAAAGGCCAUCUUCAGCACGUCCGGCAUCUGGAAAACCAAAUGCUCUAUUCAGUCCUUAUUUCUUAAUCGAACCCUAGCAAGUUUUCUCGGAGAGAAUUUGGCGCGAGGUUUGAGCGAAUAGCCUCGAAAACUGAGAAACGGAAAACUAUGAAUUUAGAAUUUCAAUUCGCCAUUACCUUCUCGAAGAAUUCGUUGUGGAUCAAUCCUUCGGUGAGGUCAAGCUGCGACUGGUAGCCCAUGUGUAGCAUGUCGGUGGCGUCGACCAACCUUUGCUGAUCCGAUCUAGCGGUGUUGAGGGUGCUCUCGAGUUCCUGGAUCCUGUCUCGACACUGGGCCAUAGAACUAGUCAAAGAGGCGAUGUCCUGAAACCUCUCGGCACUCGCUUUAGCCGCGCAACCUUGCUCCAACGCUUCAUCCAGUUGUUGAUGGAGCCGCGUGUUCAAGUUCCUCAUUUCGUUUUGCCCCGACUCGAGCUUCUGCCUGAUGGUUGCCGUGAGACGUUCGUGCUCCGACAGCUCCGUCUCCUUUUCCAUCAGGCUCCGUUUCAGGGUGCAAAUCUCUUCCUCGCGGCUUUGGAUCAGCUUCUUCAUGUCGGCCAUCUCCAGCUCAUGGUCCACCGUCAUUUCCUGUUCACGUUCUCGAAGACGACGAUCACACUCGUUCGAAUAGAGGGACAACGCCUCGCGAAUUCGGUCCGUCAUCUCGCCAAGACCUGUCUUGUCUUCGUUCGAUUGAUUUCGCAAAAUCAACAGCUCUUGGCGGACAGAUGACACCGCUUCGUUCAUCGCUGCUUUCAUCGUCCUCAGGAUGGAGCGCAGCCUCUCCACCUCAUCCCGCGUGUUUCCAAGGUUUUCCUGAAACGGCCGGCCCAAGACACUUCGAUGAGAAACGAUCAGCGGUGCCGGACGGGAAGGCGUUAAAAUGAGUGAUUAAAUGGGUGUAGGUGUGAAAGUCGUGGCAGAAGGAGGAGCCUUUCGAAGUCCUCGAGCAAUUUUGAAGACCUCGAGAGAUCGAGGCGUCGAACGGAAAGCAACGCUACUUUUUUCAGACUACUAUACAUUUCUCGAAUCAUCGGAUCGCUUUCAUUCUCUACCAUAACUUUCGCUACACCCUGGGACGAUCGAGUCAGCGAGGAUUCGUGACACGUUCGAACAGUUCCCUCGCUGUCUCGAGCAUCGAGAACUUGUCUGUGACCAGUGACGGAGAUGUUAGUAGAUCGGAAGCGGGAUAAUAGUAACUCUGGCGAUGAGAAAUGUGAAAAAAAAGAAUAGACAAGAACCCCGAGGAACAGUGUGCCCGAUGCAGUAACGACAAGAAGUCGGUUAACAUUCUGGAGAAACUUGAUUGAAUAGAUCUCGGGAUAGAGUCUCUGUGUGUGUGUGUGUCACACUUCGGGUCUGAGGGGAUGGGGAUACGAGUGCGACGGCAGCUAUCCUGUAAUUUAAAAAAAUUAAGACACACGCAGUCACACGAAACCUGCACGCGGUGGGACACCACUACGAGUCAGGAGUCGAAGAGAGAUUUAGAAGGGGAUCGGAGAACUGGCGGGUAAUUCACAGCAACGGUAAUCGGCAGGCAAGAGAUACAUACCGGCGUCUCUGGGCAUACAUAUGUACUUGCACAAAGUCAGCGCUAAUAGAUUGGCUAGCGAGACAAAAGACAAUGACAACGAAAAUACCUAGAAACCACAGAGAAAGGGGAACGUAAGUGGACGGUGAUCUACAUCGACGACGAACGAGGUGAGGAUGCAGGAUCACAAAAAAACACAUGAAGGUGUGAGGAGACAUCGAUGGCCAGACUCUGGACCGGGGACUGCUGGCGAGUACUAUGCUCCGUUUUUCUUAAGAAGACCUGUCCGUUCGACCGGUGUCAUGAUUCGGAUUUGCAACACAGGAGUGUCGCGAUCAGAUAAUUACAACUGCGACGGUGUACCCAGGCGAGAUCUACCGAAAAAUAGAGCAUAAAACUAGCAAAAGAGCACUGGCGAGCACUGCUUCGAGCUCCUACGGGCACGGAGACGCUUGGAGGCGGAGCUCCCCAAUUCCCACUCCGCGGUUUCUCGGCUCGCACGGCCAGUCGCAAGCGGACGUCGUGUCCCCACCAUCCUGGCCGCACUGCGCCACGCCCACAAAGUCUCGCCACCAAACAACGAGUGCUCGCAGGAGGAUACACAGGAGCUCGCGAGCGAGGCCGACGUACACUGCCGUCCGAUGCUCGCUGAGGCUGCUCGGCAGCGACUCGUCCAUGUAAAACUCAGUACCCAUGAAGUCGGCACCGCCGCCAACGCCGACCGACGGACUGCUACCGCCACUGCUGGACAGCUGGUGCCGUUGCUGCUGCUGCUGUUGCUGAUGUAGGUGAUGUUGCUGGCCGUCGCACAACACGGACCGCGUCAGGGAAGAAGGAUUCGGACUUAGGGAACUUGGCUCCUCAGCCGUGGUCGAGUCGUCGGGUACCUGUCGGACAUCAUCGGUGCUCUCGCGAGUUCCAGUUCCUUGGCGCCCGUGUCGACGUUCACGGAAGAUUUAUCACCGGUUUCAGUUUCACCCGUGCCGGCGUCGGUGAAACUCUUCGACAAGAAGAACCGGGUGAUGGUGUUCAAAUCAGGUGACGACACGGUUAGAGCCAGGUCCGGUAACUGUGUCCUCAGCAACUCCAUGUCCUCCACGGUCAACUGUAACACAAGCAACGAAUAAAAAGAACCCAAAAAAAUCGCGAGAAAGCA